CUAGGGCUUGGCCCGCUUGGCCCUAGAAUUUGAUGGCCUCUGGCAGCGUUUCUGGCCUGAAUAGCGUCCCCAUGUGGUGCACAAAGCAUUGGUUUCACCUGUUCCUCACAUUGUUUAGGUUUUUUCUUUUCGCAGACUAUGACAGGGCCUUUGCAGAUGCCUCCAGAGCUUGCCUCUCCUGCAGAGGAUGACUUGUUGAUGCCCCAGGUGCCUUCUUCAGGAAGGAGGCGUCUUCAGAGGCAGGAAAAAGCAUAGCAGGGAUGAUGCUUACACCUCCUUGCAGGUAAAUCAUCACUGGGCUCUGAUGAUGAUUCAGACAUCACCUUGGACCUCUCCAGGGGUCAGGGUGAGGCUGUUCCAGGUCUUUAGGGAGCAUCCUGGAUAGCUCAGCUGGUCAGCGUAUGGUGCCGGUAAUGCCUAGGUUGCAGGAUUGGUCCCUGUAUGGGACAGCUGCAUGCUCCCUCAUCACUUUACCCGGACACUGAGGUCCAGUGCCGAGGGCCUUUCUGGUGGUUCCCUCACUGUGAGAAGCCAAGUUACAGGGAACCAGGUGGAGGGCUUUCUCGGAAGUGGCACCUGCCCUGUGGUACACCCUCCCACCAGAUGUCUACUACCAGACUUUUAGAAGACAUCUAAGGCAGCCCUGUUUAGGGAAGCUUUUAAUGUUUGAUGCAUUACUGUAUUUUAAUAUUUUGUUGGAAGCUGCCCAGAGUGGCUGGGGAAGCCCAGCCAGAUGGGCGGGGUACAAAUAGAUGAUGAUGAUGAUGAUUAUGAUGAUGAUGAUAUUGUGGGAGAGUGGACUAGAUGAUCCUAGGAGUCCCUUCCAACCCCACUAUUCUAUAAGUGGUAAUUCACUAUGAUGGGAAUGUUAGACGCAGGGCUGCCAUCAUCCCCUUAGCUCGCUAGGAUCGCAGGGACGGGGACAUGUGGACCACUUGCGCAGCUCCACAUUUCAAAUGGAAAUUCCCUGAGCAAUAGAACCUGAAGCUGGUAUGCAGGAAGCUGGCCCGGUGGCAGCUUUGUUGGGACUUCUUUAGGGUCUCUGGCCAGUGUUGGCCCUGUAAAUUUACACAUCAUGGUGGCAACACAAGGCAGGGCUUCUUGCCCAAGCGGGGCUGGCAAGCAAUAACUCAAUACCUCUCGCCCAUAUUUCCAUAAAAAUAUCUCCCUUUAAAGCCUGGCUAAAAGGUUAUCUAGAUGCGUCAGUAGCUUUGUGCUUGUGGGAAGGGUUUUUCUCCAAGGUUUCGGGAUUCCUCUGGCUUUUCAGCCAGUGGCUCAGAAUACAGCAACUCAAAAGUCAGUUAGAGUCUGUGGUAGCCAGAAAGUCUGUGGUAGCCAGAAAGAAGGUUAGGAAGCAGCUUGCAUUGGGACGUAUGGUGGGAUCCCCUUGAUUCUCCUUCUAGUCCCGAUUUUCAUUUAUCCCCAUUGGGGAUCGUCCCUAAGAAAGCCCCAUAUAAUUCCAUCUGAUCCAUAUUUAUCGCACCCCAAAGGCACCUCAGUGAAUGAUGCUAUCCCUCCGGAAUUGUUCCGUGAAAUAUGCAUCUUUGGAUCAGGCAGUUGAGCUUACCAACAAAUUGGAGGAGGUGCCUUGUUGGCAUUAUGCGAUAUUGAAUCGGCUGUUAGGCUGCUGCCGGUUCACCCUCAAGAUUUUAAGUAGUUAGGCUUUAAUUGGAUGGUCCUUAUAUGGAUAAGGCGAUGCCAGUUGGUUGCUCAAUAGGCUGUGCAGCACUUGAGUCCUUUAGCGCCUUUCUGGAUUGAACAUUGCGAGUCAAGACUCGUUUAACUGGGGGUAUCGUUAUGUGGAUUAUUUUACUGGCUGGUUCAUGUGACACCAGCCUCUGCUUAGCUUACUAGAUGCCCCUUUAUUCCCUGAGGAGCUGGGUGUUCUGUUGGCAGUGGAGGACAGUGGCUCCUACUGCCCCUUUUAAUGUAUUUGGGGGCUAGCUGGAUACCGUUGCUCAAACAUCUGCUUGCCUGUGGAAAAGCUGUUUGCCUUGAAGGAUGUUAUUCUUGUAAUACUUCCUCUGAAGCAAGUGUUGCUUUGUCAGAUCCUAUCAUUCCUAGGUCAGUUAAAUUUUGCAUGCAGGGUGGUUGCUCCAGGCUGCCCCUUCCAUUCCUGCUUGGCCAGGUGGUCUCAUGGCCCGGUGUCCCUUCAUCAUCAUGUACAGUGGCCUUGAGCCUGGCAGGGCAAGGCAAUCACAUGUAACCUAACUUUCUUGAGUUUUCCUCAUUGUAGUGUCAGCGCACAUCUGGACUGAGGAGUUUAGGGACCGUCAGGUCUGUCUUGGUCUGAUAACCAGGCAGUGUGAGAGUCCUGGCAAAACGGUCUUCAUGCUCUGGCAGAGUCUUCGCACUGCUUAAGGUUUAAUAUUGCGUUUCUGCUCACUUUAUUUCGGGAUCAUCUAAUGUUUUUGCUGUGGCUCUAUCCCGUUUUUUCAGUUGGAGAGCUUCAGAUCCUGGGCUCUGGACACCCAGCUAUUUUUCUGGAGCUCCUGUGGCACUUGGCGACAAUUAAUAAUUAUGAGGAAUAGUAGCUUACGUUUCCCCAUCCGCUUUCAGGUCUUAUGAGAAGGCCUGGACUGAUUUCUUAAAAUUUAGCUGGUAGUCCUCGGCCAUUCAGAGGAACCUGCCCCCAUCCUCUGAGCAGGACCUGCAGUAAUUCGCCCACCUGCUGCAGAUAGGAUGCAGUGUUAAAACUAUCAGAAUUCAGUCCGCUGCAAUGUCUGCUAGAGUAAAGCUUUAAUUUUCAGAGACCCUUCUAAAAGUGUGUCAUGCGCAGGGUCUCGGAAGGUUGGAAUAGGCUCUGACCUUCACAGGACAGCAGGCAGGAAGCCGGUCAAUCUUUGACCUAUGCAGUAUCUGCAACAAGUUGAGACUUGUUGGCUGGUUCAAGAUCAAGACGAGACUUAUUUCAGUAUUCCAUUGUAAUUUUGGUGUACUGAGGGUUGGGGAAAUUGUGUUGGAGCCAGCACGGGGCUGAGAGUUUGGAGGCUUAUUGCCUCAGGACUUUUCCUUAUCUGCUUUGGAGCUUGUCAUAAGUGUCUGGAGCUCUAAGUCAGACCUAGUGAGCAGGGUUGCCACCAUCAGGCUUCCAGUCACAGGUGAGGUGGGCCCUUGCCCUGUUAUUGGAUACCGGAAAUAUUUGGCUUUUCGUUCCCCUGAGGGCUGGCUCGAUCCUAGUGCACAGAAAUGGGUUCCGGUUCGACAGGCAUCUAAUUGCUCACGUCGUGCGCCAGUUAUUGCAGCCUGCGGCUUGCCUACCGCUGAACACGCCUCAUUCCUUCCAAAUAGGUGCUGCUGCAAAGGCUGCGCAUUGGGGCCUGUUAGUAGACAGGAUUGUGAAUACGGGUCAUUGGAAGUCUGACGCUGACAAAGGUUAUGUCAGGAAGCAUCGCCAAUGAUGCCUGUGCUGAUGCCUGUCUGUUAUUCCAAUUGUCAUAGGAGCAGCUGUGCGCAUUUGGAUUGUCGGCCACAGCAUCAUGCACUGAGCUGGCAAGCACCCUGACGAGUCUGGACUGGGGGCGCCAUCUCGGCCUUCCUGCCCAUGUUUCUAGCUCCAGUCCGCAUCUGGAUUGUGGGGCACAGCAUCGUUUACUGGGCUGGCAUCAGAGCUAGGCAGUCUGGAAGGGGACUGGGUCUUGGCCUCCCGCAGCAUGUGCAGGUGUUGUGGAUGUCCAGGCGCAGAAUGCAGUGGAGCGAAUUCAUCCCGCUAAUUAAGCAGAGGGUGCUUCGGAUGGCCCCCCCCCAUGGCAAUUGUGGUUCAGCUGGGGGGGAACGAUGUGGCAACUUAUGAUUGCUUUACUUUGCGCUCCACGAUUCAGAGAGACUUGUGUGAAUUGGUGACCUUAAUACCCACAGUUAAAAUAUUUUGGUCACAAUUGCUGCAAAGGCGCAAUUGGCACGGCAUUUCUCGACCUGAGGCUGCUGAAAGGGCCAGGAAGCGCAUUAAUUCUGCAGUGUGUAAGAAGGUGGCGGAUUUGGGUGGAUUGGUUAUUUCCCGCCCGGAUAUUACCUUCAAGGCUCUGGCCCUUUACCGCAAUGAUGGAGUACAUCUCUCUGUACUGGGGAAUGAUGUUUGGUUGGAUGCGGUAACUGCAAGGUUGAAGGUUGGGUUGGGAUUGUGAGUGGUUGGCGGCGAGCGUAAAGGGCUCGAUUGGCGGUUAGGCAUUGGUUAUAAAUUGGUGGAGGAGGGGUUAGGAUAGGCUGGGCCUGCCCCUCCAUGGUUGCUGCGGAAAGGGAAUUCCGUUAAAGGAAUCCUGGGGCUUGCC